UUUUCCUUUGAUUCUAUAUUUUACACAUUUUCUUUGUUCUCCAUUGCAACCCUGUCUAAGCCACCUUGUUUGAAGCUGAAGAAGUGAAGAUGUAUGCCGUUUGCAUAUCUCUCUCAAGUUCCUCUUUCUGUUUCUUCUGCGUGUGUCCAGAAACUGAGUAGUGCAUGGGUGCAUCACACAAUCUUUGCCUACUAAAGUACUUUUUGGAGAAUGGGGACUUUUAGCCAUUUUUGUACUGGAAUACCCAUCUGGAUGACAUUCUAAUGCUUGAUAUACUUUCUUGGAAGCAGAGCUUCCAGAACUUCAAGACAAUAGAUUUCUGCUGUUUGAAGCCACUAGUGUGUGGUCAUUUGUUAUGGCAGCCCCAGGAAACUAAUACACCUUGCAAACUUCAGGUUCUGAGAUGGCAAUUGCUGGUUUCAUUGGUCUGGAGAUUUCAUCUUUCAGAGCUGUCAAGGAUUUUAGUGGCUAUGAGGAGAGAACUCUGAUGAUAAAGUGUAUUGAUUCAUGACUGC